rnacentral:rRNA from 1 species
CAUGGAGGGUGAGAAUCCCGUCCGGUUGAUCAUUGCGUUUUACGAUACGCUUUCUAAGAGUCAAGUUGUUUGGGAUUGCAGCUUAAAAUGGGAGGUAAAUUUCUCCUAAGGCUAAAUAACGGCGAGAGACCGAUAGCGAACAAGUACCGUGAGGGAAAGAUGAAAAGUACUUUGAAAAGAGAGUUAAACAGUACGUGAAAUUGUUGAAAGGGAAACGAUUGAAGCCAGUCGUACCUUCGGGUAAUCAGCCUUUUGGGUGUGAUUUUGUGGAGUGUGAGGAGUUAAACGCCUUCAUGCCUGCACAUUCGUGCACUUUGGGUAUAUUUACCCGUGAGGUAAGUUAACAUCAAUUUUGGUCGUCAUAGAAUGGCUGGAGGAACGUAGCUUCGAUCUCGUAUUGAAGUGUUAUAGCCUUCGGUAGAUGUGGUGAUCGGGAUUGAGGAUUGCAACGAUACCCUUCGGGGCUACCUGUCUGAUCUCUGAUUGUUGCUCUGGUGCCGAAAGCUUGCUUACGGUUAUCAAAGUCGAUGGUCAAUAGGUUAGAAUGGGUUAAAUUCGUUAAGGAUGUUGACGUAAUGG